rnacentral:lncRNA from 1 species
AAUCAGGAUAUUUCCUGGAAAGUAGAAGUUCCUUGAAAGGCAAGACGUAUACAUGAGUUUCACUCGCUCGGCACUUUGACAGUUCAAUUGGAGGCUCUUAAACCCUAGCCAAUUUGGGGCACAACCAGCGAUUUACCUGGUCUGCGUGAAGAGAGGUUGGAUCGUAGACCCCAGGAUUAGUCGCUGUAAGGUGGACACCUGGGUAUCCAAAAAAAAAAGUCAAUAAUUAAUUUUAAACUGCAUAUUUGACGAGAC